rnacentral:rRNA from 1 species
CAGAGGGUGCAAGCGUUAAUCGGAUUUACUGGGCGUAAAGCGUGUGUAGGUGGCUCGCUAAGUCGGUUGUGAAAUCCCUGGGCUCAACCUGGGAAUUGCAGUCGAUACUGAUGAGCUCGAGUUCGGUAGAGGGUGACGGAAUUCCCGGUGUAGCGGUGAAAUGCGUAGAUAUCGGGAGGAACAUCGAUGGCGAAGGCAAUCACCUGGGCCUGAACUGACACUGUGACACGAAAGCGUGGGUAGCAAACAGGAUUAGAUACCCUGGUAGUCCACGCCGUAAACGAUGGGAACCUGACGUCGGUUUGCUCUGCGAAUCGGUGUCGUAGCUAACGCGCUAAGUUCCCCGCCUGGGGAGUACGGCCGCAAGGUUG